UGGAUAAAGGGGCACAAAAAUUCCCAAUCACAAGCCAGUCAUGGGGAUGGUCGUACAGCAUGGAGAAUACGGCCAAUGGUCCUGUAACAACUUCCUGUGUUGACACAUAGUAACUGAACAGGUCUUUUGGUGUGUGGCUCAGUGUUUUUUCAAGCCUAUAGCUCACACAUAAUAUUUAAAAGGCUUUUAGUAAAGAGAAGAGGAAAUAGACUUGUUAUGUUGUGUUCAGAAAUGCCAGACUAGGAUGAAGAUGUGAAAGUCAGAGAUACAAAGUUCAGUUCAAUGGAAGGAGGAACAUCCUAAUGCCUUGGAUGACCCCACAGAAGAACCCGGGAAGCAGUCUCCUUAUCUUGGGUAUAUUCAAGCAAGAAUUAGAAAGUCUUCUGUCAAAGAGGCUGCAGAAAAGACUCUUCACAGGGUGGAGGUUAAACUGGAUAGAGCUCUAAGGCAUUUUCCAACAGGUAUAUUUUAUGGUAGGUGAUUACUAGCAUCAGUUAAGAGACACCAACUCCGCUAAUGACUUGAGUUCUUCUUUAUCUCUCCCACCCCAGCUUCUUCUUCGACCAUGAAGCACUGAUGCCUACAUCCACUACUAGUGUCUUCCCCAGAGGGCAACACUAGAAUCAAGCAUCAGAGAUAAUGUGAAAAAAGUAAAGUCCUUGAAUGGCUAUACAAAGUAGCAAAUGAAAACACAAUGAGGUAAUAAUGCCAAGCGGUUACCAAUCUCAUAGUUCAUUAACAGUUGCUGAAAGUAUGUUAACAGGAGGAAGAAAAUCACAACAGCUGGCCUAGUUGGCAACCCACUGCUUCCAAGUCUAAGAAACUGUUAGAAAACUGGGGUACAGAAAAAAAGAAUUUCUGCAGAUCCAUUUAGCAGACAAGCAAACUCAAAGAGGGAAGGGAUGACCUGAAGUUGGGACCUGCAUACUGAAGAACUUGACAUCAGAACAUUUCCAAGGCUCAGAAGCAGGAAUGACCUUCUCUAAAUGAAUCCCAAUCGACUGUUCUGGUUUUCAGAGAAUCUGAAGCCUGGGAAAGUUGGAAUGAUUUGCUUUUCUGAAGUCAAGUCCAUGCUCUUGAGAAGGCACUGCCUUCUGAGAUAGAAGAUGGGGCCCGAAUCAGGCUUAAUGAUGGGGGUCCCUGAAGCAGGGCUGGAAGAUUUUAAGAUUUAUGAGUGGCAGGAAGGAGAGGGAAAUGGUGGAUCUAAUAACAGGAAAACUCCAUUCGGGGGGAAAAAUGACCCUCUUUUUCUUUGAAGAAAAAUGGGAGAGGAAGAGAAGGAAAACACUAUACAUGUACAACAGACUGAACCAGUGACUUAGCACCAGGGUUCCUGUGUGAAUAAGAAAAGGUGCCUCUUCCUCAAGGCACUUGACUGCCACCUGCUGGAAGAUUGUUGGAAUAACCUCGCUUUACUGUGCUUCACUUUAACUGCAUUCACAGACACUGCAUUUUUUGCAAAUUGAAGGCUCAUGGCAACCUGGUGUACAGCAAAUCUAUUGAUGCCAUUUUUCCAACUGCAUUUGCUCAUUUUGUGUCUCUGUGUCACAUUCUGUGAUCAGUGAUUAUGACUCACUGAAGCACAGAUGAUGGUUAGCAUUUUUUUAGCAAUAAAGUAUAUUUUAACUGAGGUAUGUACAAGUUUUUAAAGAUAAUUCUGUUGCACUUACCAGACUAUAGUACAUAUAAACUAACUUCUACAUGAACUGGGAAACCAAAAAAGCUCAUUUGACUCCUUUUAUUGUGAUAUUUGCUUUAUUGAACCUGCAAUAUCUUUGAGGUAUGCCUGUUUAGAUAUACACAAAUCUAAGACUACAUUGUAAUUGACAAGAACCUCUAUCUCCUACUGAGAAAUCCUGUUUGGUACAUCUGAGCAACUCCAAGUCUUUGACAUCACUCGCUCAAGUAGUGCCUCAAACCAGGUGAACUAGUCAGACACCAGUCCACUUUGGGCUUCAGUCUCUUAAUAAUUCAAGGCUUAACUUAGGUGCACUUAGGUCCCUUUCAGUGUUAACAUUUACAACAGCACUGCCACGCCUUAUACUCAUAACAGGCAUUCAAUCAAUGUUUGUGAAGUAAGUGCAUAUUAAGCUCACCAAUGAUUCAGGGGUUGACUGUAGUCCAUUAUCUUAAGCCCUAAUUAAAAUAUUAUGUAAUUCAACUAAUAAUGAAUUCUUACCACGUUCAAAGUACUGACAGGUUCUUUGUCUAAUUCUAUUCCAAACAUUAUAUCCUUACAACUUAAGCCAACUGCAGCCAGACCUAUAGUCUAAUUUAUGAACUGUAUAUAUUUUUUUAAAAAGUAAGUCAGAUUUUAGAUUUUCCUCCUAAGAUCUAACAAAGAAAAUGUCUCAUAUUUAGAGGACAAGGACAAAGAGAUGUUUUCAUUGUCCUAGCAUAUAAUGAUCAAGGAUGAAAUGCAUUUACGAAUGUAUCCUCUAAAAGGAUUAAGGACUGAGAUAGUUUUUAACAGCUCAAAGUGAAGAAAUAACUCCAUGAAAAAUGACUCCAAUACAACUGGUGAAUAUACUUCAUGUUACACUCUCAAAACAAUUCUGGAGAUGAGUUUUUUCCAUUCAGGAUGAAAAGACAAGUGACCAGUCAGCUUACCAAAUGUCAAGCAAUUGAAUGUGUACUGUGUAAGUCUAACCACGCCUCUGGAGAACCUUGGGUUCUGGGUUUCCCCUACCAAAAUCACUUCUGAUAUUUUCAGAAGUGAAUUUGAGAAUUCUUUUCAAUGUCCAAAAUCACAAAGUAGCCACUAAGAAAACCAGAAUUCCAAAAUCAUUUCAGAGGAGCUGAACAAGUAUUUCCUCUCUUUGCUCCCACUUCACAGUUUUCUGUAGGAAAACCUCAACCUCUGACUGGGUUACUAUGGUACAGGUACCACUGUAGAUUUGCAAUUUAGCUCUAGAUGAAGUGAGACUGAGGAAAAAUACCAAGUAAGCAUACUUACUGUCAGAAGGAGUAAAAUCAUCUCCAUUAGCUUGAUGAGCCUUUGGGUGUCAGGUCUCAGGGUAACAAGAACUAAAGAAAAUCUACCUUUCUGGUGUGGGAGGCUUAGUGAAUGCUCUGAGUUCUUAGGACAUGUAUAGUAGAGCAGAGGCAGCAAAGUCUGGAGAGGGGUUGAGAUGUAUUUCCCCCUUGUAAAUGAAAUAAUUCAACACACCAAAGGAGAAUAGAAAUAAACACCUGUGUAUCUACCACCAACCCAGCUUUGUCAAACCUUAACACUUUAUAGUUGUUUUAGAUAUUAAAAAAAACCACCAACAUAGCUUUGUCAAAUCCUAACACUUCAUAGUUGUUUAAAAUUUAAAAAUAUACAUAUAUAACAAUGAGACAUUACAGACUUAUUUGAAGUUUCCUAUGUACACUUAACAUGAUGCCAUUCUUUUCCUCUCUUUCUUCUGUGAGUACAUAUCCAUAACAGUACAUGGUAUUGCUGUGAACAUUCUGUAAAUAUCUAUCUGCAACGUGUUUUUUUUUUGUGUAACACAGUUUUUCAUAUUAUAGAUAUAG